rnacentral:rRNA from 1 species
UACGUAGGGGGCAAGCGUUGUCCGGAAUCAUUGGGCGUAAAGCGCGUGUAGGCGGCUCGGUAAGUCCGCUGUGAAAGCCCAGGGCUCAACCCUGGAAUGCCGGUGGAUACUGUCGGGCUCGAGUCCGGAAGAGGCGAGUGGAAUUCCUGGUGUAGCGGUGAAAUGCGCAGAUAUCAGGAGGAACACCAGUGGCGAAGGCGGCUCGCUGGGACGGUACUGACGCUGAGACGCGAAAGCGUGGGGAGCAAACAGG